UUAACUCAUAUUUGUGUAGAGUUGGAACGUUUGCCUACGUUUGCCGCUAGGGGCGCUGUUCCAAUUCAAUACAAAUUUGAGUUA
rnacentral:pre_miRNA from 1 species